GCGUCCAGCCAUCGAUCCCCUCAUUUUCCCCAUCUCCCAUUUUCUCUUCCCUGAGUGGCGGCUAGGGUUAGCGCGAUCGCCGCCUCAUCCCCGCACGCAACCUCUCCUUUCGGCUCUCCUCCGCGGCUCCAUCUCCUCCUCUGGCGGCAUCCAACCCAUCGUCUUCUCCUACUUCCCUCUCUUAUUCUUCUGUGCCUCGACGAGGUGGGUAAGCCGGUGCACACACAAAGGGUGGUUGAGGCUGUGGCUCCGAUGCGGGCGUCGUGGAGGUGGAGUCGGUUCUGCAGCAGAAGGAGGUGGACGGCCGCGACAACAGCUUUAGCUUUGAUGAGUUCCAUCACCUCCAUUGCUAUCGCAGGUUAGCCGAUUGAUGUAUUUGAUUGCUGGCCCUUUUGUGUUGGCUGAUGGUGGCGAGAUGAAAUAUGAAUUAAACCUGAUGCUGGGACAAUAAGUAUUUGUACUAUAGAUCCACUAAACAUUGUAUUGAAAUAGCAGGCUACAUAUCUAUCUAAUAUGCAUCUGUGGUACAAGGUGUAUCAUGUUUCCUGACAGAGAACAAUAAAGAUAAGUUGGUGACACAAAGUACUGAAUAAAAAACACUUCUAAUGAUCUAUAUAAUGUGAAAUCUUUUUGUAUGUGUAGAUUUAUCGAAUAAUAUCAUAAUUCUGAUAUGUAGUUUCCUUCUAUUGGGUAUCUCACGUAGCAUGAUAUGAAGCUUCUGAAUAAUUGGUUGCAGAGUUCUCGUAUGUGUCUUGGAGUUCCAAACUUCACAUUCAUUGAGCUUAAUUUUUAUAUAUCGCUUAUGUCUUUCCAGUCAUGCAGUCGCAGGUUCUCCAUUUCAUGAUUUUAAUAGUUGACGGGGUGAGAAAAUUCAUGGCAAGAGCCAUGGUUUAUCUCAGAUGUGUAAAGGGAAAUAUAUUUGUUGACCCAAAAAUCACACUACACUGUUGCAAUUUCUCUGUCGAAAAGUGCCUCGACGAAAGCAAAAUUGGCCUCCCGUGCUAUGAUGACGCGAAGAAUGGGACAAUUUGCUCGAUCAGUUUCAAAUCAGAAACAAAAAUUUGAGAAAUUUGUUGGAUAAGUACUGAUAUGGUGCUUUUCUAAGAAAAUUAUAUGAUUAUUAAUGCAGGUCCAUGCUCUACUCUGAUGGCUGAGGUUGGAUACACUUGCUACAUGUUUAUUUAAUUUUAUUCUAUUGGAGGAUUCAAACUCUAGACUGAUGAAGUGGUGCAUUUUGAAUUUUCUUCUUAGAUAUUGUGAAUGGUCUACUGAAGGUA